GUGUACCUGAUCCGGAGGCAGAGCGAUGAGGAGAGCGCCGUCAAGGUGAUCCCCGUGGGCAGCGAACCGAAUCUGAACGGCGAACUACCGAUGUCGUUGGCCAGCAUCAUCGCCGAGGCUGUCAUGACAAGGGAGUUGAGCAAUUUGCGAUUUGGCGAGACGAACCAGACAUCGGGCUUCAUCGAGCUCAAGGGGAUGUACUGUAUUCAGGGGACGUACCAUCCCGUUCUCGUCAAGAGCUGGAACGACUACGAUGACCAGUGGUGCUCGGAAAACUGCGACCCCU